rnacentral:rRNA from 1 species
GACGAACGCUGGCGGCGUGCUUAACACAUGCGAGUCGAACGGUAAGGCCCUUCGGGGUACACGAGUGGCGAACGGGUGAGUAACACGUGGGUGAUCUGCCCUGCACUUCGGGAUAAGCCUGGGAAACUGGGUCUAAUACCGGAUAGGACCACUGCCUGCAUGGGUGGUGGUGGAAAGCUUUUGCGGUGUGGGAUGGGCCCGGGGCCUAUCAGCUUGUUGGUGGGGUGAUGGCCUACCAAGGCGACGACGGGAAGCCGGCCUGAGAGGGUGACCGGCCACACUGGGACUGAGAUACGGCCCAGACUCCUACGGGAGGCAGCAGUGGGGAAUAUUGCACAAUGGGCGCAAGCCUGAUGCAGCGACGCCGCGUGAGGGAUGACGGCCUUCGGGUUGUAAACCUCCUUCAGCACCGACGAAGCGCAAGUGACGGUAGGUGCAGAAGAAGGACCGGCCAACUACGUGCCAGCCGCCGCCGUAA